GAAAUAUUUGAGGAAAAAAAUCACGUUAUACCUCUUGGGAGUGUUUGUGUGUGAGAAAAUGGGCAUGCAGAGAGAUAACAGGAGUCCACACAUGGUUAUUCUCCAUGUGACUCUGACUGGGAAGGUGACUGCCUUGCCUAUUUUCUAGUGAGUUCUUUGUUACCUUUUUGCUCUGUAUGCUCAUGAGCAACACUUUAAGCGGCUAUACUGAUAUGUUCUAAGGAACUUCAAUAAAUUUUGAGACUGGAACUAAGAAAGUUAGAUAAGCAUCAUGUUGAAGACAAUUGAUCUUUCACUUUAAAAGAAGCUGACUAGAGAGGAUGAGUAUGUUCUACUUUCUCCACUCAUCCCCCAGCCAUCAGAAUUCUCCUUGGGCACAAAUGAAAAACCAAGCAACCAUCAGUCUCAGAAAGUACAGACUGGACUCCUUAUGUCCCAUUGAUUUUUCUGCUGAUGCAGCAUUCUGUAUGUUCCUCAUGGAUAAGCAGGUCUGUCUCAACACUGCAAUAUAUCCUCCACCUGGCUUAGAGUGGCUUAAUGCAAAUGAGUUGAAUGAAUGAACUGGAUAAGAAGUGACAGCUUGAUAAUGAUAGACUAGCUGUGCUUUCCCUUUGAACCAGGUACAAACUUAGGUAUAGAAGAACAAGAUGCCAUUCGUAACAAAUUGAUGUUCAGCUCUAAAUAGCCUCCAAAGGAUUGGCUGAAGCAAGUGCCAGGACAGCUCUACCAGUUGGAGGAAGGAAAAAGAAUGGAGAGUAGUUGUACCUAUAGAAGGGAAUUGUACAAAUCAGGCAGACUGUAGGAAUAAAGGAGUUCUUUGGCUAGCCUUAAUAACAGCUACCGCUUGUAAGCAUUUUUAACAUAUUAGGCACUAAGCUGACAAUUUAUGGGCAUUAUCUCAUUUAAUUCAUAGAACUCAAUAAGGUAUAGAUAAUUAAUGCUGCGAUUUUACAGAUGAGAAAACUGAAGAUCAGAGAGAUAGUAAAACUUGCCCACGGACACACCUGACAAGGUAAGUCAGGAUUUAUAUUCAGAAUAGUGCAGUUGUGGGGGGCUCUUCCAUGUCAUUUCUCCCCCAGCCAACAAGUCUAUAUCCAUGAUAUCGGUGUCUGAGGCCUGUAAGCUUGCCCCUCCCUUUGCCUUAUCAAGAACAGCUUCCGUCUGUGCUGCUGAACACAUGGCAUCCAGGAAUGUUCUCCUCCCACUGGUCCCCUCACAUAUACGUUGGGCCUCUCACAUUCUAUCAGCUUCUUCCCCGUCAGUCUCUAAACUGCUCAAAUAUGCUUCUUCCCCCCAUCCUCAUUCCUUGACCCCUGCAUUUUCUCUGAACAUCAACUGCUUUGUGCAGGAAUAGCUGUCUAUGCUUGCUUUGCCCUUCUGCUCUCUUGCCUCUGGACUAGAUCUCUGCUGCACCAUGAACCACCUUUGCUGAAGUCACCAGUAUUCCACCAGGUGAAAGACAAAUGGACACUUUUCAACAUUCAUCUUACCAUGACCUGAGGCUUCUGGCUCGAAUAUCUACUCCUUGAAACAUUAUGCCCUUAACUGCUGAACUAUCAGCCUGCUGGCUCCCCAUUCCUUAGCAGGUUUUUUCACCAGUGGUUCUUCCUUUAAAUUUCUUGGAAAUGGUGGUGGCACUCCAAGUUUCUUCUUUUCUGCUACUUCUCCAGGCACUCUCUGGAUGCCCCACGAGCUCUCACAGACUUAAACAACACGGUGUAAACUGAUGGUUCCUUUACUUAUAUCGCCAGUAUUUCUCAUCUGAAAACCAGAGCUGUGGAUCCCACUGAAUUUUGGACAUAGUGACUUCAUAAAUGCAGGCUGUAAUCUUAAACCCAAAAUCCUGAAAACCGAGCUCACUGUGUUCUUACCACGCUUUCCCACCCACUCCAAAGUUACUUUUUAUCUGUGUUCCAUUCACUGAAGCCAAAAUCUUGGACAUCACAUUUGACACUUCAAUCUUUUUUCCCCUUCCAAAUAGUUACUCAGUCUACCAAAUUGUUGCUCAUAAACAAUCUCACUUUGUUGUUAUUUGGGACCUUGUUACUCUUGCCUAGACCAAAGAGUCUAUGUCCUUGGACUGAACUCUGGUCCCACUCCUGCCUUGCUCCCUUUAAAGAUUUUAUUUAUUUAUUUAUUUGGGAUAGAGAACAGAAAGAGAGAGAGCAUGAGCAGAGGAGUGGGCAGGGGGAAAGAGAGAAGCAGACACCUCGCUAAGCAGGGAGCCCAAUGCCCUGGGAUCAUGACCUGAGCUGAAGGCAGAUGCUUAACCAACUGAGCCACUCAGGCAUCCCCCACCAUGUCUUUUUUAAUCAGUCUUUCUCCUCAGUGUCCUAGGAGCAGUGUUUCUAAUACACAGAUCAGAGGAUGCUUUAUAUCUGCAUAGAAUUUAUCCCUGUGUAGGAUUUGGCUGUUGUCUCCCUCUUCAGCCACAGGCACCACUGUCCCCAUAUCUCCUGCAUAACUGAGCAUUCUGAACAUUCUAUAAUUUUUCACAACCUUGGAUAUUUGCAUACUCGGUUUUUUCUUUGUCCACCUAAAAUGACCUUAUUUUUUUUGCCAGGAAAAUGUAUUUUCUCUUCAUGAUCUCAAAUGGACAACAAUUACCUUCUUCUUGAAAUAGGUUUUGAUCUUUCCUAGAGGUAAGCCCUUCCCUUGAGUGCAUGAGGCAUCUAGCACCGAGACUUUAUACUAUAUUGCUGACUUUUUUUUACCUCAGUCUAUGUACCUCACUAGACUUUAAGAUCAAAAGCUACCUUUUCAAUCAUUUUGGUAUUUCCAGUACAUAGCCACAAGGCCUACCAUACACUAGAUGCUUAGUGUUGAACCCAACUUCCCAUUUAAUGGUCCAAACCUUCAGUUUCAAUCUCAAGCAAAUAAACAGGCAACCUCAAUUAUUUUGAAAAUAAUCAUUAUUUCUUAGAAGCAAUUUAGCCAUCAAACAAAGGAGAUUUGCUUUGGAGAUCAGUAAAUUAGAAGUCAGAAAUGUAUAGUUCUAGAGCAUGUGGUAUCAUUGGCCAACUAUAAGUUUUUGGACAAAUCAUUUCAUCUCUGCCUUGUUUAAGCAUUCCACCUGUAAAGUGAGGUGAUCAGGAUACUUUCUAAAAUCUCUCUUGCUCUCAAGUAUCUAUUUUGUUAUUUGAGGUCAUAACCAACUAUAUGUGGUGAACGUUCAAAGAAAAGGACUGAGGUGAUCUAAAAAAAAAUAAAAACAAAACAAUAAACCUGUUUCUUGUAAAUAACCAAAGAUAUUUGCUGAGUAAAAUAACAUAACAAAUUACUUCCAACCGUCUUCUCAAAAGUAAUGUAUAACUGAAAUUUUUCAUACUUAGUUCCAAAACAUCCUUUGUAAAACUGCCCUGGGAAACAAUCAUUUGGCUAGGAAAUGUAGAUCUUAAUAGAUUCAUCAAAGGCAUCUUUCUAUCUUUUUUCCUUAUAUUUUCAAAUCAAAUACACAAUACUAUUAUCAUUCACAGCUCUAAGUUUUUCCCAAAAAUAUUAAAUUUGUCUUUGAUUCCACAGAUCCUGAAUAUUUAUAUACCUUUCAAGUUGGUAUAGUUUACUGAGGAAAGAACAUAGCUCAGUCACGUCUAUUAAAUAUUAAGUAUUUUUCUGCAAAAGCAGAUACAGGUACACAGAUGUGUGAUCACGGCCUCUAGAGAUACAAACAUUAUGCUUUUCCCCCCAUUUGGUUGCAAACAAGGAAAAAAAGUAUGCUAAAAGAAAACUUGCUUAAGUAACAUGGUGAGCAAUAAUGUGGUGCUAAAAUGUGUUUGGAGUUACAUACUACAUCCAAAGGAACCCCACCAUAAUACAUGGUGAUUAAUGUUAAUGUCAAAAAUAUUAAAGAAAGUAAUAAUGAUUUGUAUCAUCAUGUAAUGGGCUAUCCUUUCUUUGAUCUUUUUUUCCUUUUGAUCAGUGAAAUUAACAGACAAUAAAUUUUGAACAAAUAAAAAGGAAUUCAUCUUCACCCAGCACAUCGGUCAGCCCAUGGGAAUAACUGCCACAUGAGGUCAGAGAGACAAAUGCUAAGGCUGGUGUUCAAAAAAGAUCAGAUAAUUUUAUGACCAUUAAUAACAUUUGUCGUGCUGCAAGCUCACACGGACAUAAGAGUAAUCCAGUCAUCCUUUUGGGCUCAGACUAAUUACCUCACAAAGACACUGCUGGACCAGCACACAGCAUGGGUCAUUUGUGCACUUUCAGAGGGGGCUUUGCUUCCAUUUCAGUGGAGAAUAAGGUCAGCCAAAGAUCUUUAAAAGGCCCUCAAAGCAGAAAAGAUUAUGGUACCUUCUUCUUCAUUUGUAAUUUAAAACAAAAAAAAAAAAAAAGAAAAGAAAAGAAAAACUCUAAGCCAUAAAACCCAUGAUUUCAUGUAGAUGCUGAAGCUAAAAAUGUUUUCCCCCCCAGAUUCCUUUGGUUACAAAAUUCAAUUUUUUUUUUUAAGCUGAAUUGUUUAAAAUAUUUUGGUGUCCCUCAUGUGCUAGGACUCUGAGCACUUUCACAAUUUGCCUAUUAGGCAAUUGAACACUUGGAGGGCAAAAUAAAGAUGAAUUAUGCUCAUAGCCAAAAACAUCAACAUAAAUGUGGCUCUCUUGCUCAAAUCCAAAGUAUCAGAAUCAAUUUCAGGAACUCUGCCUCCUUAUGCAUUUGUGGCAGCUGUAGUUUCUUGAGAUCUUCAGUUAAGGCUGGUUGUAUCAAUGAUGGCCUAUUGCAGGUAUCUGGCCAACAAAAGGCAUCCCAUCAGACAUUUCUAAGGUAUUAUUUCCACUGCUCUAAUGAGAUCUGUAUCUGCACUUAUAUUAGUGCUCAGUGCCAGACAGAUGUUGAAUACAUCUAGAGAGCGCAUGCAGUCAAGGCUGUCUCAUCACAACUUCAAUGCCAAUUGCUAAAGAAAUACAUAUGUUU
rnacentral:lncRNA from 1 species